CCUACGGGAGGCAGCAGUGAGGAAUAUUGGUCAAUGGCCGGAAGGCUGAACCAGCCAAGCCGCGUGAAGGACGAAGGUGCCAAGCAUUGUAAACUUCUUUUGUCAAGGGACAAAAUCAGGCACGAGUUCCUGACCGAGUGUACUUGAAGAAAAAGCAUCGGCUAACUCCGUUCCAGCAGCCGCGGUAAUACGGAGGAUGCGAGCGUUAUCCGGAUUUAUUGGGGUUAAAGGGUGCGUAGGCGGACUGUUAAGUCAGCGGUAAAAGUCCGGGGCUCAACCCCGGCGAGCCGUGGAAACUGGCUGACUUGAGAUGUGGAGAGGUAUGCGGAAUGAGCAGUGUAGCGGUGAAAUGCUUAGAUAUUGCGCAGAACUCCGAUUGCGAAGGCAGCAUACCGGCGGCGAACUGACGCUGAGGCACGAAAGCGUGGGUAUCGAACAGGAUUAGAUACCCGUGUAGUC
rnacentral:rRNA from 1 species